rfam:Triticum urartu cultivar G1812 contig1071140, whole genome shotgun sequence.
CAACUACUCCCUCUGUCCUAAAUUUGUUGUCUUAGAUUUGUCUAGAUACGGAUGUAUCUAAUACUAAAAUGUGACUUGAUACAUCUGUAUGUAGACAAAUCUAAGACAAGAAUUUUGGGACAAAGGGAGUACUUU